rnacentral:rRNA from 1 species
UGUUUCCCGAUUUUAAGAGGAGUUAUUGGUAUAUUUUAGUUAUUGUUUCAUUAAUAUUAAUAAUAUGCUGUUAGUAAUGAGAUGUUAUUCGUCUUUGUUGGUAUCUGGUUUUCCAAGAAAUGAAUUUAAUUCAUGCGUUUUAUUUAGAUUUAUUAUUAUUUUAUUAGAUUUUAAUAUGUCGCUAAGAUUAGGGGGGAUUAGCUCUCUAUUUUAUUUUUAUAACUUUAUUUGCUUGUGAUUCUUGUUGAUUUUAUAGUGAUUUUCAAUUUGAUUAUGUUAAAAUUUUAUUUUCUUUUUGUUUGAUUUAUUGGUUGUUUAAUGUUUAUAUUGGAAUGUUCUUUUUAAUUUUGGUUGUGUUGUAAUUAUUGUGAUAUUAGUAAAUUUUAUUUUGUUUUGUUUAAAUGAUUUUAUUGUUAAUUUCUUCUGAGGAAUUAGGCAAAUUUUUGUGUCCGCCUGUUUAACAAAAACAUCUUUUCUUGUUAGUUUCUGAAGUAUGGCCUGCCCACUGAUUUUUUGAAGGGCCGCGGUAUUUUGACCGUGCCAAAGGUAGCAUAAUCAUUAGUUCUUUAAUUGUGAUCUGGAAUGAAUGGCUUGACGAGAUGCGAGCUGUCUUAGGUUUUGAUGAAAUUUUUAUUGAAUUUGGUUUUUGAGUUAAAAUUCUCAAAUGUUUUUAUGGGACGAGAAGACCCUAUAGAGUUUUGACAUGUCUAUUCCUAUUUUUUUAUUUUGUUUGUUUAUUUUUAAUAGGUUUAUUUUGUUUUGUUGGGGUGAUGGGAAGAAUUUAUUUAACUCUUCUUUGCUUUGUUACAUUUAUUUAUGGUGAUUUUGAU